GACGAACGUUGGCGGCGUGCUUAAUACAUGCAAGUCAACUGAAGCAGUGGUAGCAAUAUCGCUGUGGAGGUGGCGCACGGGUGAGUAACACGUAGGUAAUCUGCCUUCAGGUCUGGCAUAACUCCGGGAAACCGGGGCUAAUAGCAGAUGAUGCAGCGGCUCGACAUCGAGACAGUUGUUAAAGCUAUGGCGCCUGAAGAUGAGCCUGCGUCUGAUUAGCUAGUUGGCGGGGUAACGGCCCACCAAGGCGACGAUCAGUAGCUGGUCUGAGAGGAUGAUCAGGCACACUGGAACUGAGACACGGUCCAGACUACGACGGGGGGCAGCAGUAAGGAAUAUUGCGCAAUGGGUGAAAUACUGAAGCAGCGACGCCGCGUGAGGGACGAAGGGCUUUUGCUUGUAAACCUCUGUAGUAAGAGAAAAAAAUCACAAUCUAGGGGACAUGAUGGUAUCGCAAAAGUAAGCCCCGGCUAACUACGUG
rnacentral:rRNA from 1 species